rnacentral:lncRNA from 1 species
CGGGGUCCCCUUUUUGUUUGAAACACAGCGGAAAAGCGUUUAAAUUUUUUUCUUGAAAACCUGACCCCAGAGUAUGCCAGAUCCGCCACAAAUACAGGGAAUCCACUGUUCACACGGACAGAGUCUCCCCUGUAUUUGCACGGCGUCGCACAAGUACAAGAGUACAAACAGUAUACAACCACAACUAAAUGAAUAUACAUAUAGCUAUACAUUCAUACAUUCACCAUUCACACCGUAGUUUUACAUUCGAUGUUUAAACAAAAGUCUACGAAAAAUCUUUUGAAAACUGUUCCAUAUGCGAAAACUUUUAUCUUUUAUACAAGCUACCACGAGGGGUAGAAAACCUUUUAUUACCAAAUCCAGAAAUCCUUUUAUUACAAUCAUGAAAGUCCACAUAUUCCAAUGUAAUAAAAAUAC